rnacentral:rRNA from 1 species
UACGAGGGGGGCGAGCGUUGUUCGGAAUUAUUGGGCGUAAAGGGCGCGUAGGCGGUUGGAUAAGCCUUGUGUGAAAUCUUCGGGCUCAACUCGAAGUCUGCACGAGAAACUAUCUGGCUUGGGUGUGGGAGAGGUGAGUGGAAUUCCUGGUGUAGCGGUGAAAUGCGUAGAUAUCAGGAGGAACACCUGUGGCGAAAGCGGCUCACUGGACCACAACUGACGCUGAGGCGCGAAAGCUAGGGGAGCAAACAGG